UACGAAGGUCCCAAGCGUUAUCCGGAUUUAUUGGGUUUAAAGGGUGCGUAGGCGGGCUAUUAAGUCAGUGGUGAAAGCCCCAAGCUUAACUUGGGAACUGCCAUUGAUACUGAUGGUCUUGAGUACAUUUGAGGUGGGCGGAAUGUGUCAUGUAGCGGUGAAAUGCUUAGAUAUGACACAGAACACCGAUUGCGAAGGCAGCUCACUAAACUGUAAACUGACGCUGAGGCACGAAAGCGUGGGGAGCAAACAGG
rnacentral:rRNA from 1 species